rnacentral:sRNA from 1 species
CUUCUCUAAUCUCGCGUAAGCCGUGACUAACCACUUAAUGCCUUCGCCAUUAA